rnacentral:antisense_RNA from 1 species
CAGGCUGGAAAGCCGGCGCAGGGAGGUCACCUUUGAUGUAGACAUCGUCGUCGGCGCGCAUGAACCACUCAUACUUGUCCAGAAAUCAGCAUAAAUUGAUUUGAUCAAUAUAUGAUCAAAAUCCAUAUAUUGACAUAUGAAAAGGCUCCAAAUGGGUUGGAUGAUGCCCUCCCAUAUUGUGGUGGCCAAUAUGCUUUACUCAGUCUACAGAUUCAAAUACUAAUCUCUUCUGGAAACAAACUCACAGACACACUCAAAAAUAAUGUUUAACUAGAUAUCUGGACAUCCGGUGCUCAAGGUUGAAGAAGAAAUAAAGAAGCACGGAAGUAAUAACGUGGGAUUAUCAGAAAACCUGACUGAUUGUGCUGCUGCUGGCAAUGGUGAUGAUGGACUAAUUCCACAAAGAAAGAGCAGAAAACCUGAAAAUCAGCAGUUUCCUAGGAUGGAGAAUGAAGAGUAUCAUAGGUAAGCCUAUGGCA